rnacentral:lncRNA from 1 species
CCUCAGGAGCAGCAGCAGCGGGUGCAGCGGCCGGCUUGGGUUUCGGGGCACCCGCCGGAGCUCCACCCUCGUAGACGAAGGUGUUGGCACACUUGCCGCAGUACACACGGUCGAAGUGGGUUGCCAUGAAAGUGCCGGGGCCGCAGUUCGGGCACUGCUUCCGCAGACGCUGCACCUUGCCCGAGUCGUCCACCUACAGCCACAGAGUACGGGUGCAGGACCGUCCAGGCAACACCAAGCAUUAAUCCACUAAUCUUCACACAGCGAUUUGCGGGGAUCAAACCCAACGUGCACGAGCUCCACGUCACUAAGUGUCGUCAACGACUAUGACUUAGUCACAAAACCCAGCAAAACGUAC